AUCCGGACAAACAAGGCCGAGGGCUGGGCUGUAGGGGCUGUAACUAUUGAUCUCGGACAGCGCUGGCUGUGGCAGACUGCAGGCUGUGUGGCAGGACGUGUGGAUGUGUACUGUAACAAACACACCUUUGGCGUGGAGACCGACGCCAGGUGAGGGCGUGCGGCAGAAAACCAUUCCCUCCAUGUGACACUGGUAACAGACAACCAACAACAAACUCCACAACGCGUCCAGGGACGUUCAGAGCACGACAGACUGCGAACGAUUGAUGGUCUUCAGCUAGCUCCAGAAACUGGAGACACGUGACCAGAAGCAGUAUGCAGGCGCUGCUGUCCAAGGCGCGGCAGCAGGAUGUGCUAGCGUUGUUGUCGCCCUGCCUGCUGGUCUUUGCCGUGCCGCUGCUUCUGCCGGGGGUCACCAUCACCACCGUGGGCCUGCUCGACAACCCAGGAUUCCCCAAGUAUGGCGCGCUUCACGUCGUCGGCAUGAUACUCCUCGCCUUCUCCAUCGUCCUCAUCGGGCAGGCAUCGCCGUGGGUUGCGCCCUGGGCAAGAGAGGGGGCCAUCGAGUGAAGCCUAUGGAGGAGGAGGAGGCGGCCCACACGUACAACACACACGCUGCCUCCGACAAGGACGGACUUAAACUGGGGCUGCAGCACUCGUCCGACACUCGCCCUGAUGUGCAGCACUCGUCCGACACUCGCUCCUGAUGUGCAGCACGUGCCCCCAGUCGCCCGCCCCAGGGCGGAGCACGACCGUCACGGCACGAAGCGACCUCCCCUGCCGUACCACCACCGGCGACUGCGCUGGCCGUUCACGACAAGUCCGGACUCGAGACACCUGUGACCUCCAGCCAGCCUCACCACACGACAGCAGCACCUCAGCAAGUGUAGCUGAUACUCCUGUUCAAGGUCCACCCCACUGGAGGUCCUCUGUCCACGGACUUGCCAUCACCCGGCUCCCAGUCUCUUCCCGUCGCGACGAGGCCUUGACCUCCGUGAUUAACUCCAGUCU